AAAUUGAAGAGUUUGAUCAUGGCUCAGAUUGAACGCUGGCGGCAGGCCUAACACAUGCAAGUCGAACGGUAACAGGAAGCAGCUUGCUGCUUCGCUGACGAGUGGCGGACGGGUGAGUAAUGUCUGGGAAACUGCCUGAUGGAGGGGGAUAACUACUGGAAACGGUGGCUAAUACCGCAUAACGUCGCAAGACCAAAGAGGGGGACCUUCGGGCCUCUUGCCAUCAGAUGUGCCCAGAUGGGAUUAGCUAGUUGGUGAGGUAACGGCUCACCAAGGCGACGAUCCCUAGCUGGUCUGAGAGGAUGACCAGCCACACUGGAACUGAGACACGGUCCAGACUCCUACGGGAGGCAGCAGUGGGGAAUAUUGCACAAUGGGCGCAAGCCUGAUGCAGCCAUGCCGCGUGUAUGAAGAAGGCCUUCGGGUUGUAAAGUACUUUCAGCGGGGAGGAAGGUGUUGUGGUUAAUAACCGCAGCAAUUGACGUUACCCGCAGAAGAAGCACCGGCUAACUCCGUGCCAGCAGCCGCGGUAAUACGGAGGGUGCAAGCGUUAAUCGGAAUUACUGGGCGUAAAGCGCACGCAGGCGGUCUGUCAAGUCGGAUGUGAAAUCCCCGGGCUCAACCUGGGAACUGCAUUCGAAACUGGCAGGCUUGAGUCUUGUAGAGGGGGGUAGAAUUCCAGGUGUAGCGGUGAAAUGCGUAGAGAUCUGGAGGAAUACCGGUGGCGAAGGCGGCCCCCUGGACAAAGACUGACGCUCAGGUGCGAAAGCGUGGGGAGCAAACAGGAUUAGAUACCCUGGUAGUCCACGCCGUAAACGAUGUCUACUUGGAGGUUGUGCCCUUGAGGCGUGGCUUCCGGAGCUAACGCGUUAAGUAGACCGCCUGGGGAGUACGGCCGCAAGGUUAAAACUCAAAUGAAUUGACGGGGGCCCGCACAAGCGGUGGAGCAUGUGGUUUAAUUCGAUGCAACGCGAAGAACCUUACCUGGUCUUGACAUCCACGGAAGUUUUCAGAGAUGGAAUUGUGCCUUCGGGAACCGUGAGACAGGUGCUGCAUGGCUGUCGUCAGCUCGUGUUGUGAAAUGUUGGGUUAAGUCCCGCAACGAGCGCAACCCUUAUCCUUUGUUGCCAGCGGUCCGGCCGGGAACUCAAAGGAGACUGCCAGUGAUAAACUGGAGGAAGGUGGGGAUGACGUCAAGUCAUCAUGGCCCUUACGACCAGGGCUACACACGUGCUACAAUGGCGCAUACAAAGAGAAGCGACCUCGCGAGAGCAAGCGGACCUCAUAAAGUGCGUCGUAGUCCGGAUUGGAGUCUGCAACUCGACUCCAUGAAGUCGGAAUCGCUAGUAAUCGUGGAUCAGAAUGCCACGGUGAAUACGUUCCCGGGCCUUGUACACACCGCCCGUCACACCAUGGGAGUGGGUUGCAAAAGAAGUAGGUAGCUUAACCUUCGGGAGGGCGCUUACCACUUUGUGAUUCAUGACUGGGGUGAAGUCGUAACAAGGUAACCGUAGGGGAACCUGCGGUUGGAUCACCUCCUUACCUUAAAGAAGC
rnacentral:rRNA from 1 species